rnacentral:rRNA from 1 species
UACGUAGGGGGCAAGCGUUGUCCGGAUUUACUGGGCGUAAAGAGCGUGUAGGCGGCCAAGCAGGUCCGUUGUGAAAACUGGAGGCUUAACCUCCAGACGUCGACGGAAACCGCGUGGCUAGAGUCCGGAAGAGGAGAGUGGAAUUCCUGGUGUAGCGGUGAAAUGCGCAGAUAUCAGGAAGAACACCAAUGGCGAAGGCAGCUCUCUGGGACGGUACUGACGCUGAUGCGCGAAAGCGUGGGGAGCAAACGGG